rnacentral:sRNA from 1 species
UGAAAUUGUCACUACAUGACCUAUAUC